UGGUCCAUAGCUCAAUUGUAGAGCAUUUGACUGCGGAUCAAGAGGUCACCGGUUUGAACCCGGUUGGGCCCU